UACUUAUGCUUCCGUACAUCCCACAUCCUCCAUGGAACAAGACGACUCCCCUCCGUUUGCUGGCAGAUGGUGAUCUUGGGAGGUAGAUCCUCACUGGCACCUCACCAAAGUGCAGAUCCUUUAUGAGGAGCUCUGAAGCCCUCCAUGCCCUCAGUCCGUUAGAAAACAUCCUGAUAAGAGCUCCUGGCAUCACAGACACAUCUUCAAUUUUAAGGAAAAGAACUGCCAUAAAGAAGAAUGGGGAAUUUGGCCUGCCUAUGGAAAGCUGCAGUGCAAUGGGGAAGGACUUCUGAGUAGGAGCAUGGAGGAGAUCAUCAGGAACAACUGCUGUGAUGUGACAGACCCUCAUUUUCACCAACCAAGAUGCAGCUAUGUUAGGGGAUACCUGGUUUUGAACAAGCUCUGCAGACUGCAGUUGCAAUGGCUCAACUUCUUCUCCCUAGAAGCCCCUCUCCUGGUCCCGUAUGACAAGGUUGUGACCAUCGUUUGACUUACUUCAUGAAAGGAAAACUGGCAU